UAUUACGGAUAAUAUAUCAUACAUAUCACACACGAAACGUAAACCGCGCGCGAGAAUUUCACUUGGCGUGACCGUUACAUUUGGAACAAUAAAAGUACAGCACGUCAAGACACACUGAACAGAAGUAAAUCAAUUCGCUUCCAGAGUUUGAUUGCGCGACGAUUAGUAAAUGUUUCAUUAUUGGCACGAUCGACAUUCUACCGAAGGUAUUGCGUACACUCCUCGAGCGAAUACGCACACACGAAAACUUUGUCCGAAACGAAAAUCAACGUCUGUUAGCACGACGGCACUCUCAACACAACACCGGACAAUUCAAUUCUGAACACGCGAGACACACAGAACACGCACGGAGUCGACAGAGCGUCUGACCGGCGCUGCUGGAGUAGCGUACGUGACUGGAGCGCGGAGCAACAUGGCGGCAGCGGCGCAAGCGCGGCGAGUCAACAAGUUGGUCGCCUAGCAACGCCGACUAGCGCCAAGUCUGUCUGCCAGCAGUCACGUACGCCACUCCAGCGCCGGUCAGACGUACUGUUGACUCCGUGCGUGUCUCGCGUAUUCAGAAUUCAUUGUGCGUAGGUAUUAUGGUGUGUUUAGAGUGCCGUCGCGCUCUAACAGACGACACGCGAGUGAGAUCGUACGUAACAGAGGUCGUAUUCAUUUGUAAAAGGCAGCAUCGUGCGUUUGCCUUCGGUUUCGAGUAGUGUUCGCGUGUGUGUUCGAGCAAAGUGUGAAGAGGAUACGUUCGGUAAAAUAUCGCGAGUGCUAAUUAAGUGAAGUGCUACUAGGCGCUGAUGGAUAAAAAUACCUAAAACGACGUGAUGACCGCUCUCAGUAUCCGUUCUAAUGAGGUGCACACUGUCAAUUGUGCUUGUCGAGCCCAUCGCCUGAACUCUGCUCCUGAGCGACUGUUGGCAAAGUGUCAGAGCUUGUCGAGAUAAUUGUUCUCUCUCAGAAUCACGUCUCUCUAUCGACAAUUUAAAGGGAAAAAUGACUAUUCGUAUUACGUUUAAAAUUAUAAUUAUGUUGCAUCUAUUUUAUUUUGUUAUCAGUGAAAAACAACAAUGCAAAUAAAAUAGUAAUAGAUACAGAUCCUGGAAGAGAUGAUGCUCUAGCAGUAAUGCUGGCUGUAAAAUGUAUGGAUGUCAAUAUUCAAGGCAUAACUGUUACAUAUGGCAAUACAAAUUUAGAAAAUGCAGAAAAGAAUUUAUUAAAAAUCUUAACAGUUGCAGAAAAACAAAAAUCUUAACAGAAAGAGCAUAGAAAUCUUUUCAGUAAUCUGAAUUAUAAUAUCGCAAGCUUUUUGCACAAUGCGGAAAAAAAGGGCUUGGACAAACAAGAACAGUGGGGCCCAGCAGAUGGUAUUGCUAUGGCGUUACAACCGAACAUGAUAAUGCGAUCUUUUGUCACUAACUUAACUCCGGUACUUGUGUCUUUUGUCACUAACUUAACUCCGGCGAUGCAAGGUUCUGUUGUGAUAGAUUCUAAUAGCCAAGUACAUAAUGCAAGAGUUAUAGAAGAGUUUGACAAAGAAGCAUUUUAAAAGUUACUAUUAAAACAUCUU